rnacentral:lncRNA from 1 species
CUCUUUCCCCUCUUGCCCCUCUCCAGCUUUUCUGGUCCAACCCUCUUCUGCGCCUAACACUGGCACCUCCUUUUCUUCCGGCUGAUGAAUAAUUGUCCGCAAACCAGCCUCUCUGGGGCACUGAGGGGCGGGAAGGUUAGAAGGAGCCAGGGCUAGAGUCCUGGAAGGUGGCAGUCAGGUCGCAGGGCCACAGCAGUCACUCUGCGACUCUCUCUUCCGGUGUUUCUCCAGCGCCAAGCGGGAGAAGACGGAGCCUGGGAGCUGGGACUGGAGGAGCGGGAAGCGCAGUAUCGGGACCACGGCUCUGGGACCAGGAAAAACGCAGACUCUCCAGAGUCAAUGUCUACUUCAGCCAGCUCAAGGGCGCGACAACCUGGCGCCGAGCAUCUCAGGCCGCCGCGGGGACCCCCCCUAAGGGACUCGGGAACACCUGCCUACCCUAGAAGAGGCGGAGAAUAACCCCGUAGGGAGUUAAGCGGCCUCUGCCUACAGCGUUCCUCCCGCCUCCACGGCGCCGAGCCCUGAUUGACGUUCAGCCAGGCCAAUCAUAGCCUGUGUCUGAGGCGCGCGGAGCUGGAGCGCCCAGGGCAUGUCCGCCGAUCCCAAGGAGGCAAUCUGUCAGGCGCCGCCCGGGCGGCAGUAUGCCUGAGGGGGUCCUCCGUGUUCGCGCCUCCCGCCGCCUGCACUGAAAGGUCUGUACCUGAGCCUGGAUACUUGAACAGAGGCAGACACUGCGGCUCAAAACCCCAAGGAAUAUCCUAGCUCUGAGACAAAAAUUGGGAACCUCAGCAUGAGUUUGUCACCUGAAUGAAAUAAAAAAAAUCACGUUGAAGGCUGGUGCAGUAACAUGUGCCUGUAGUCCCAGCUACUCUGGAGGCUGAGUCAGGAGGAUCACUUGAGACCAGAAGUUCAGGAAUUCAAGACUGGCUUGAGCAACAUAGCAAGACUUCAUUUCAAAACAAACAGAAAAAAGCCACCACCUUCAGUAUUUCUUGCCAAAGCAAAGGAGCCAUUUGUUCUUUACGAUGGUCAGGAAAGGAAGCAUCAAGGUCAUCAAAUGAAAAAUUUUCAGCAUUUCAGCCUCUCUGCUCAGGGAAAUAUCUGAAUCUAGAAUAUCACAACAUGAGCCAAAACCGCCCCAUUUCUCAUGCCACAUGUCACUCUUAACACAAGGUUACUCAACCUCGAGCAUGGUUGGCAUUUGGGGCUGAAUAAUUCUUUUUUGUAGGGGGCUGUCCUGGGCAUUGUAGGAUGCUCAUGAGCUACCUCAGUCUCUACCACCCACUAGAUGCCAGUAGCAUUGACCCCUGAUCUCUCUACCCAAGUUGUGACAACUAAAACCAUCUCUGGAUAAUGGAGGAACCUUAAAUGCAUAUUGCUAAGGAAAAGCCAAUCUGAAAGGAUUACAUAUUGUAUGAGUCCAACUAUAUGGUAAUCUGGAAAAGGCAAAACCAUGGAGACAGUGAAAAGGUAGUGGUUACCAGUGGUCCAUGGGAAGGGUUGGAUGAAUAGGUGGAGCACAGAGGAUUUUUAAGGCAGUGAAACUAUUCUGAAUGAUACUGUAAUGGUGGAUACAUGUCAUACCUUUGUCAAAACCAAUAAAAUAUAACAACCAAUAAAACUGCACAAAGAGUGAACCCUAAUGUAAACUAUGGACUUAAUAAUGUAUCAAUAUUGGCUCACCAAUUUUAACAAAUGUACCACACUAAUGCAAGAUGUUACUAAUAGUGGAAACUGGAGGGAAGAGGGCUUGAGGGGACAUACGGGAACUCUCUGUAAUUCCUGUUCAGUUUUUCUGUAACUGUUAAACUGUCCAAAAAAAGUCUGUUUUUAUAAAUGGAGGCAUGGUUUUAUAUGGACUAAAAUACUAUGAUUGCCUUUUUAUUUUACACAUGGUGAAAUUAGAGCAGGACAUAUUUUAAACUCAAAAUUCACAAAAUUAAUUUAUGAAAAUGUUUACCCAGAUCAAGAAUAUUAAAGAAACUUAGAUUAAUAUUGUUACCUUGAAUUUAUUUUACUGAGUAAUCCUCUAAGACUCCUCUACACAUUAUUAAUCUAGAAGGAUUUUUAAAGUCUUUAUGACAAUUAAUUAUUGGUCUACAGUCAAAUUGCAUAUCCCCAUUAACUAGAGUUAUAUUUUUCCAUUUUCUGAUCCAAAAACUUUAGGAACAGGAAAUGUUUAUUUUAGAAAACAAGAACACUUCUUAAGCAUUUGCUGUUAACAGUUAUUUUCACAUGUGCUUGUACUUAUUUUACACUUGUCAGAACAUAGUAUUUACCUUUGAACCAAGGUUUUAUAAUAAGCAAGCACUUUUUUUAUUUAGAAGUCACAUUUUCCAAGUAGAAAAAUCAUUAAAAAUUCAGUCCUCUGAAGGCUAAUUUCUUUAAAUCAUUUAACCUAAUUGUUUAAGGUAUAGAUUGGAAUUUUUCUCAGCACUCUCUUGAAAACAGGUGACAGUGGAACCCUGUUAGGUUCACAAAUCCUAGACUUUGAUUAUAUAGCCCAGGCUCAAAUUUUUCUCGAAUGUUACGAACAUUCAAAGCAUUAGGAGUCUUGGUUUCAUUUCUUAAUUUUUUUUCUUCUGGGUAUAUUUGAGACUCAUCUUGGAUUCAAAUAAAUUAAUAAUAGUCUCAUGAAACCGAUAAAAAUGGGAGCUCCAUUGAACAUGAGAGACAUUGAUUCGUAGUUUCUAACAUCCUCCAAAUGAGGAGCCCAUCCCUAAUUUAGAUGCUUCUUUCAAAGGAGGCUCCUUUCCUUCGUUAUCCAUAAUAUAGUCACACCAGUCCUGAAAAAACAUGGAACAGACUCCAGAUCUUUAUAUUUCAUACUCUAAAGUCGUACAAGCCAAUCUGCAUUUCCUCUAGUGGAAACUGUAUAGCUGGUCAUCUUUCCAGGACCCUUUUAUCAAGAAACAAUGCAGCUUCUACAUUUGUGCUGCUUCUACACCAAAACAGCUGGAAUGUAUAUAGUAUGGUUCUGGAUGCUCUUGUAUACCUCACUCUUCAUUUCUCACCUAACCCAUGUGCUAUGAUUUGAAUGUUUCUCCCCUGCAAAACUCAUGUUGAAAUGUAAUUGCCAUGAUAACAGUAUUAAUAGGUGGAAUAUUUAAGAGGUGAUUAGGGUGGGAUUGGUGAUGUUAUAAAAGGGUAAGUUCAGCCCCUUCUUGCUCUCUCUGUCACCCUUCCACCUUCCUCUGUGUGAUGAUGCAACAAAAAAGCCCUUCCCAGAUGCCAGCAUCUUGAUUUUGGACUUCUCAGCCUACAGAACUAUAAGCCAAUAAAUUUCUGUUAUUUGUUAUUAGUCUGUGAUAUUCUGUUACAGUAGCACAAAAUGGACUAUGACACCAUGUGUUUACACAGAAAGAAAAAAAUAUCAUACGGUAAUUGCUCCUAAAUAUGCAGAGAAUAUGUUCUGAUAUCCUUAGUGGAUGCCUGAAACUGCAGAUAGUACCAAACCUUAUAUAUACUAUGUUUUUUUUCCCAUACAUAUGCAUGUUAAAGUUUAUAAGUUAGGCAGAGUAAGAUAUGAACAAUAACUAAUAAUGAAAUAGAAACGUAACGAUGUGCUGUAAUAAAAGUUAUGUGACUGAC